rnacentral:rRNA from 1 species
UACGUAGGGGGCAAGCGUUAUCCGGAAUUACUGGGUGUAAAGGGUGCGUAGGCGGAAGUUCAAGUCAGCGGUAAAAUCGAGGGGCUCAACCCCGUCUCGCCGUUGAAACUGUCUUUCUAGAGUGAGCGAGAAGUAUGCGGAAUGCGUGGUGUAGCGGUGAAAUGCAUAGAUAUCACGCAGAACUCCGAUUGCGAAGGCAGCAUACCGGCGCUCAACUGACGCUGAGGCACGAAAGCGUGGGGAUCGAACAGG